rnacentral:rRNA from 1 species
CCAGACUCCUACGGGAGGCAGCAGUGGGGAAUAUUGCACAAUGGGGGAAACCCUGAUGCAGCGACGCCGCGUGAGUGAAGAAGUAUUUCGGUAUGUAAAGCUCUAUCAGCAGGGAAGAAAAUGACGGUACCUGACUAAGAAGCCCCGGCUAACUACGUGCCAGCAGCCGCGGUAAUACGUAGGGGGCAAGCGUUAUCCGGAUUUACUGGGUGUAAAGGGAGCGUAGACGGCAUGGCAAGUCAGAUGUGAAAGCCCGGGGCUCAACCCCGGGACUGCAUUUGAAACUGUCAGGCUGGAGUGCAGGAGAGGUAAGUGGAAUUCCUAGUGUAGCGGUGAAAUGCGUAGAUAUUAGGAGGAACACCAGUGGCGAAGGCGGCCUGCUGGACGACAACUGACGGUGAGGCGCGAAAGCGUGGGGAGCAAACAGGAUUAGAUACCCGGGUA